UCAACCAGGGGGCUUAGCCCACUGGCCACCGGGUCCUCACUUAAGUGAAGUGACCCGGGUUCGAUCCCUCUUGGGAACGAAUUGGUGAUUGGAGAUAUAAGGUGGAGUUUGGUGAAGGGAGAGAUAAGGUGGUUCUUGGAGUGGAUGGGGAACUAACUACUAACAUCUAACAUGACUUUGACCGAUCAAAAAAAAAAAAA
rnacentral:lncRNA from 1 species